GAUGAACGCUGGCGGCGUGCCUAAUACAUGCAAGUCGAGCGAACGGACGAGAAGCUUGCUUUUCUGAUGUUAGCGGCGGACGGGGGAGUAACACGUGGAUAACCUACCUAUAAGACUGGGAUAACUUCGGGAAACCGGAGCUAAUACCGGAUAAUAUUUUGAACCGCAUGGUUCAAAAGUGAAAGACGGUCUUGCUGUCACUUAUAGAUGGAUCCGCGCUGCAUUAGCUAGUUGGUAAGGUAACGGCUUACCAAGGCAACGAUGCAUAGCCGACCUGAGAGGGUGUUCAGCCACACUGGAACUGAGACACGGUCCAGACUCCUACGGGAGGCAGCAGUAGGGAAUCUUCCGCAAUGGGCGAAAGCCUGACGGAGCAACGCCGCGUGAGUGAUGAAGGUCUUCGGAUCGUAAAACUCUGUUAUUAGAGAAGAACAUAUGUGUAAGUAACUGUGCACAUCUUGACGGUACCUAAUCAGAAAGCCACGGCUAACUACGUG
rnacentral:rRNA from 1 species